rnacentral:rRNA from 1 species
GGACUACCAGGGUAUCUAAUCCCGUUUGCUCCCCUGGCUUUCGCGCCUCAGCGUCAGAAGGUGUCCAGCACGUCGCUUUCGCCACCGGCGUUCCUUCCGAUAUCUACGCAUUUCACCGCUCCACCGGAAGUUCCACAUGCCCCUACACCACUCGAGGUCUCCAGUAUCAAAAGCACUUCUCCGGUUAAGCCGAAGUAUUUCACCCCUGACUUGAAGACCCGCCUACGCGCCCUUUAAGCCCAGUGAUUCCGAACAACGUUCGCACGGUUCGUCUUACCGCGGCUGCUGGCAC